GAUGAACGCUGGCGGCGUGCCUAAUACAUGCAAGUCGAGCGAACAGACGAGGAGCUUGCUCCUCUGACGUUAGCGGCGGACGGGUGAGUAACACGUGGAUAACCUACCUAUAAGACUGGGAUAACUUCGGGAAACCGGAGCUAAUACCGGAUAAUAUAUUGAACCGCAUGGUUCAAUAGUGAAAGACGGUUUUGCUGUCACUUAUAGAUGGAUCCGCGCCGCAUUAGCUAGUUGGUAAGGUAACGGCUUACCAAGGCAACGAUGCGUAGCCGACCUGAGAGGGUGAUCGGCCACACUGGAACUGAGACCCGGUCCAGACUCCUACGGGAGGCAGCAGUAGGGAAUCUUCCGCAAUGGGCGAAAGCCUGACGGAGCAACGCCGCGUGAGUGAUGAAGGUCUUCGGAUCGUAAAACUCUGUUAUUAGGGAAGAACAAAUGUGUAAGUAACUAUGCACGUCUUGACGGUACCUAAUCAGAAAGCCACGGCUAACUACGUG
rnacentral:rRNA from 1 species